GAAGUAGACGCAGGGGGAGGGAAACACUCCUAGAAUAACCCUGAGUAAGGGUGAGGGAAAAGAUGGGGCAAAGCUAGAAGUCGAUGUAGAGUCAAGGAGAGGUUUGUGCUUCCUUUCUCUAAGGUGUCUGUCCGUAUGCGUGGAACAUCAGCACUCAAACUGAGUUUUACUGACAGCAGUCUUAUUUUUGUAUUCCACGAUCCCUCUAAAUGUGUUUCAGGCUCCGGUCAUUUCUCUGGUUCCUCUUAUGUAAAAGAAGAUUCUGAAUCAUGUUAGGACCCGAUCUCAGUCUAAAUUUAGAAUGUCUGCCCCAAGAUUGUAACCAACACUCUGAGUCUGGUUUACAGUUCAGCCUUCUCUCCUCUCCCAGCUUCUCCCUUGCCAUGAUGGUGGUGGUGGUGGUGGGGGCUGGCAUGGUGCCCUUCUCUUCUCUCCCCCACCUAACCUUUCUUCUCAUUCCCUGACUGCUAAUGAAGGAGUCAGGGCCAGAGGGACAAGAGGUGAGGCUGGCUGUCUGGUAAGAUGGCUUUGCCCUGUCUGGGUCAGCAGGUGUGCAUACUAGACCCUCACCGGGCAUUUCCGUGGGUUCCCUGAAAGCUCACCUUCCAGUGGCAACUCUUCAUUGGCCUUGUGAAGCUGCUUCACCCUCAAACUUCACCUACCCACCCCGAGACUGCUCAAUCUCUUACUUACGGGGUCCUCUUUUCCAGGUAGACUUUUCCUGAGCAGGAUUCUUAAGUUUGGUCUCCAGGAGUGAACUCAGUCUUUAGAUCCAGUCUUCUGACAGCUGCCAGGGGGUGGUCUGACUUCCUCGGGCAUGCGUUAGGUCUCAGUCCCUCCAGCACCCCCAACUCCAGGGGACACACAUUAAUUUCUCCAAGUGGUUCUACGAAAGCUUUCUCACUAGGCUUCAGGAGAAGGCAGACACCCCCUUCAUCCUUCUGUCUUUGGGGGAUGAGACCCACAGCUUUAUACUGACUCUACCCUGAAAUCCUUGGAAUCCCCACUCCUCUGACUCUUUUUAUCCUCCGUGUGAGUGAGGGAAUUUAAAAGUCAAAAUACUGAUUCUUGGUUAUCCUACUUUGAGAUUUCGCAUUGGUUUAGCACAGUCUUUGAGAAAUACAGUCUUUAUUCUAUCUCAGUGCUUCAGUCCCAACUUCUAAUUUAACACCUUGUUACGUGCAAAUGGCGAUGAGCCAGCCCUAACACAGAAGGAGAAUCUGAGGACACGGGAGAGAGAGAGAGAGAGAGAGAGAGAGAGAGAGGCUGUUGGCUUUGGGGGCCAAAGUCUUGAUGGGGAAUUGGUCUAGAAGGAAAGGAAAACUUCUUUCCCAUGAGACAGGAGGGACAGGAGAGGGCAGUUCUUAGAUUAGAGGAAGUGGGCAAGGAAUUAACAAAGCUUCCAUUCAACAAUUUCUAUUUUCUCCAUGAAAUAGGAGGCCAGAGGUUUAUUGAAGGACAGUGAAGAGGAAAAACCAUGACUGAAUGGGUCUGAAUCAUUCGUAUGAGUCCCUCAGGACUUGUGAGGGAAUUUCCAGUCCAGCUAGAAGUUGUAACACCUACUGCAAUGGCACAGGCUGCCGACAGGGCAGAUGAGCCCCCCCAGCAUAUGGAUAAGUGGAGGUUAACACUCCCCCCGGCUGUCGCUGUCGGGAGAGGAAAGAUGACAGAGUACAUACACCAAAGAGAGUGCAUAUCACAGGACAAAGGAGCCCCAGAAAAGCCCAAAGAUAGCCAGCUUCCUGGUUUAGAAGGGAAACUUUUUAUCUUGGCAAAUAGACUCCAAGUUCAGGUUUGAAUGUCCUGAGUCAUAGAAGCCCCGGCUCUACACUAACCAGCACCCUGCUGAAUCCUACAGCUCGAAAGAGGAAGAUGAUGUGAAUGACAAGUCCUAAUGUGGUCCGCAAUUACCAGCCAGCUUUCGGGAACUGGUGGGAGGGCAGAAUGGAGUUCUUUGGGCUUGUUCAGACACCGAAUCCACAGGCUCAAAACCCCUGAUAAAACUCAAUUUUGUUCCAGAGGAGUGUGUUGGUGUCCGGGAUCAACAAUGAAACUUUCUGACGUCUCAAACACCUUUUAUCUCUGAUGAAUUAGGCAAGGCAAAAGCAGCUGAUGAAGUGGCCACAGUCCCCUAAGAGGAGGCCAAUGGGUGGAAUUCACAACAACCCCAGCCCUGAGGUUUGGAAGACAAACGACUUCUGUUUCAGACGAAUGGGAGUGUCAAGUUAUUCCAGCCCGAUGAGAUUACAGCUCAGAGGAUCACGAGGAAUCAAUUCCUCCAGAAGAGGAAAAAAACAGCUGGCACAGGAGCUCUGCAGGGCCUUUUGCUAAAGUGCUACAGGAUUACCUGGUUGUGUCUGUGGUUUCCAGCAUGUAGCUUUCAACUUUGACCAUCAAGAAUCAAAUGGAACAAAUGGUUUCAGAUGCAAUUCUCUUGAAUUCCAGGGGGCUGUGUAGUGACAUAGAAGUAUGAUGGAUUUUGUGUUAAUCAGAUCUUGGGCAUCCAUCUGUGAGCUUAACCUCUUUGAGUUCACCUCUAAGGUGGACAUUAUAAUGCGUACUCCAUAGGGUUGGUGUGAGUGUUAAAUACACGUGAAGUACCCAGUCUGUGUCUUCCCACCCCACCGCACCCUGUGUUUCUAGGUGUUAGUGUAAGACGUAAAUCCAGUGGUUUGACCACUCUGGUGUUCUUUUAUUUCCAUAACAUUGUGACUGUGAUAUAACAGCCAUGACUUCGGAGGUUCAUCUGGUUUGUCUCAUGACCUCCCACCCCUGCCAUAAUUACCUCCAUGCGGUCAUUAACGAAUAUAGUGAUUAGGAGAGAAUUACAGAUCAUUUUUAAAAAGCCUGGAAAGGUAAGUGGGGUAGACUAGAACCUGCCAGAAGAGGGUGUAAGACUUGAAAUUGCUGAGCACAGCAAUGGGAACCAUCCCUUCCCAGUGGGAGAAGGCUGACUGACAAAAUUUCUGUUCUUGAAUAAUUUACUGAAAGGAAAGGAGAGAGAGCAGGCUUGUUGUUUUUGGCAAUUCUAAACCCUGGAAAAAUAUGAAAGAGUUGGAUAUGGCCUUUGAUACAAUCCCAUCUCCUUUUUUUGUGUCCCCCCCUCCACCUUCAUUCGCCCACUCUGUGUGGCACCCCACCAGGCCUGGCCUCCUCAGUUCUUACAAAUUUACCUCUUCUUCCCUCAAAUUGAGUAUCCUUUUGGUGCCUGAUUAUCAGACCUGUUUCUCUGUACAGUGUUCUUUGUCAACUCUUCCAGGGGGGCUGCAUUUUAUAAGAAUUGCUUUGGGGUGCUUGGGUGGCUCAGUUGGUUAAGCCUCCGACUUUGGCUCAGGUCUUGAUCUCACGGUUCAUGGGGUUGAGCCCCGCAUCAGGCUCUGUGCUGACAGCUCAGAGCCUGGAGCCUGCUUCAGAUUCUCCCUCUCUCUCUACCCCUCCCCUGAUCAUGCCCUGUCUC